rnacentral:rRNA from 1 species
AGUGAACGCUGGCGGUAGGCCUAACACAUGCCAGUCGAACGGCAGCACAGUAAGAGCUUGCUCUUACGGGUGGCGAGUGGCGGACGGGUGAGGAAUACAUCGGAAUCUACUUUUUCGUGGGGGAUAACGUAGGGAAACUUACGCUAAUACCGCAUACGACCUACGGGUGAAAGCAGUGGAUCUUCGGACCUUGCGCGAUUGAAUGAGCCGAUGUCGGAUUAGCUAGUUGGCGGGGUAAAGGCCCACCAAGGCGACGAUCCGUAGCUGGUCUGAGAGGAUGAUCAGCCACACUGGAACUGAGACACGGUCCAGACUCCUACGGGAGGCAGCAGUGGGGAAUAUUGGACAAUGGGCGAAAGCCUGAUCCAGCCAUACCGCGUGGGUGAAGAAGGCCUUCGGGUUGUAAAGCCCUUUUGUUGGGAAAGAAAAGCAGCAGGUUAAUACCCCGCUGUUCUGACGGUACCCAAAGAAUAAGCACCGGCUAACUUCGUG